rnacentral:rRNA from 1 species
UGGGGAAUAUUGCACAAUGGGCGAAAGCCUGAUGCAGCGACGCCGCGUGAGGGAUGACGGCCUUCGGGUUGUAAACCUCUUUCAGUAGGGACGAAGCGCAAGUGACGGUACCUGCAGAAGAAGCACCGGCUAACUACGUGCCAGCAGCCGCGGUAAUACGUCGGGUGCGAGCGUUGUCCGGAAUUACUGGGCGUAAAUAGCUCGUAGGCGGUUUGUCACGUCGUCUGUGAAAUCCUAGGGCUUAACCCUGGACGUGCAGGCGAUACGGGCUGACUUGAGUACUACAGGGGAGACUGGAAUUUCUGGUGUAGCGGUGGAAUGCACAGAUAUCAGGAAGAACACCGAUGGCGAAGGCAGGUCUCUGGGUAGUAACUGACGCUGAGGAGCGAAAGCAUGGGUAGCGAACAGG